rnacentral:rRNA from 1 species
AAUGAACGCUGGCGGUAGGCCUAACACAUGCAAGUCGAACGGCAGCAUAGUAAGAGCUUGCUUUUACGGGUGGCGCGUGGCGGACGGGUGAGGAAAACAUCGGAAUCUACUUUUUCGUGGGGGAUAACGUAGGGAAACUUACGUUAAUAUCGCAUACGACCUACGGGUGAACGCAGGGGAUAUUCGGCCCUUGCGCGAUCUAAUGACCCGAUGUCGGAUUAGCUAGUUGGCGGGGUAAAGGCCCACUAAGGCGACGAUCACUAGCUGGUCUGAGAGGGUGAGCUAGCACACUGGAGCUGAGACACGGUCACAAGUCGUACGGGAGGCGGCAGUGGGGAAUAUUGGAGGAUGGAGGCAGGCCUAAUACAGACAGGCCGCGUCGGUGAAGAAGGCAUUCGGGUUGUAAAGAACAGUUGUUGGGAUAGAAAAGCAGUUGGUGAAGGCCCCGAGGAACUGACGGUACCCAAAGAAUAAGCACCGGCUAACUUCGUG